UACGUAGGGUGCAGGCGUUAAUCGGAAUUACUGGGCGUAAAGCGUGCGCAGGCGGUUUGCUAAGACAGGUGUGAAAUCCCCGGGCUUAACCUGGGAACUGCGCUUGUAACUGGCAAGCUAGAGUGUGGCAGAGGGGGGUGGAAUUCCACGUGUAGCAGUGAAAUGCGUAGAGAUGUGGAGGAACACCGAUGGCGAAGGCAGCCCCCUGGGCUAACACCUGGACGCUCAUGCACGAAGCGUGGGGAGCAAACAAGG
rnacentral:rRNA from 1 species